rnacentral:sRNA from 1 species
AGAAAAUGAAAUGAACAGAACAGAAAAGUUGAAAACAUCGGAAAAGAAAAUCUAACUUGAAGAAAAAAUAAACAAACUAAAACAGGAACAAAAAUCAAAGUAAAAACGGAGGCAAUACUCCAUCUCUGUUCUGUGUGUUCCCUGUGUUUAUGGAGCUAUAAAAAUCCAUGUGAAAGAACCAACCCAAUAAAAAAAAUACGAAAAAAUCUAAACAAACACAAGAAAAGACAAAACUUCUAAUGACUCGUUAAGACGACUUGUCAAAACCUUAUAAAUUUUCUUCAUUAAUUAAAACUAUCUAGUCCCAGUUGUCUAAGUACACUCUCUAUACUACGCUUGUCUUGCUUCCAUUUUCACAAACAAUUAAACAGUUGCGCUUUUCUAGAGAAAUAAAAGCCAAGUGAACUCUCCAACGAAUUAUUCUUGUGCACUUUUCUUCUUCAACUUUGUUGUUGUUGUCGUCCUCGUCGCCGUUUUCUUCUUAAUUUCUUGAAGAAAACACGAACAACAACAACAGCAGCUCUAGCACCUGUAAAUCACCUAAGUAGACAAAGUUUAAACUUAAUCACUCUAACACGAAGGCAAAACUUUAACAUUGUGCUUGUCAAAACCAAAAGGGCAAAAACUUACUGUCUUCGAAAUUAAUCUUAAGAAGUAUAACGCUAAUCCUUACAUCUAUUAGAUCUUUUCAAGUUAAAAAGUUAAAUUAAGGUAAGUUUG